UACGUAGGUGGCGAGCGUUGUCCGGAAUUAUUGGGCGUAAAGGGUGCGUAGGCGGUUUGAUAAGUCUAAGGUGAAAGUUCGGAGCUUAACUCCGGAUUGCCUUAGAAACUGUCAGACUAGAGUGCAGGAGAGGGCAAUGGAAUUCCAUGUGUAGCGGUAAAAUGCGUAGAUAUAUGGAGGAACACCAGUGGCGAAGGCGGUUGCCUGGCCUGUAACUGACGCUGAAGCACGAAAGCGUGGGGAGCAAAUAGG
rnacentral:rRNA from 1 species